rnacentral:rRNA from 1 species
GACGAACGCUGGCGGCGUGCUUAACACAUGCAAGUCGAACGGAAGGGCCCUGCUUUUGUGGGGUGCUCGAGUGGCGAACGGGUGAGUAACACGUGAGUAACCUGCCCUUGACUUUGGGAUAACUUCAGGAAACUGGGGCUAAUACCGGAUAGGAGCUCCUGCUGCAUGUUGGGGGUUGGAAAGUUUCGGCGGUUGGGGAUGGACUCGCGGCUUAUCAGCUGGUUGGUGGGGUAGUGGCUUACCAAGGCUUUGACGGGUAGCCGGCCUGAGAGGGUGACCGGCCACAUUGGGACUGAGAUACGGCGCAGACUCCUACGGGAGGCAGCAGUGGGGAAUAUUGCACAAUGGGCGGAAGCCUGAUGCAGCAACGCCGCGUGCGGGAUGACGGCCUUCGGGUUGUAAACCGCUUUCGCCUGUGACGAAGCGUGAGUGACGGUAAUGGGUAAAGAAGCACCGGCUAACUACGUG